UACGUGGGGUGCAAGCGUUAUCCGGAUUUAUUGGGCGUAAAGGGUCCGUAGGCGGCCUAGAAAGUCGGAUGUGAAAUCCCACAGCUCAACUGUGGAACUGCAUUCGAAACUUCUAGGCUCGAGUGUGAUAGGGGUAAAGGGAAUUCCCGGUGUAAGGGUGAAAUCUGCAGAGAUCGGGAGGAACACCAGUCGCGAAGGCGCUUUACUGGAUCACUACUGACGCUGAGGGACGAAAGCCAGGGGAGCAAACGGG
rnacentral:rRNA from 1 species